ACCGGAGCCCUGCUCAGUUUUGAGCACAAAGACAGCCUAUCAUUUGUCUUUUAGGCUUCUACUGAGGGGUAUUGAUGCUGUCCAAACAUCCAUAGAUCUAUGCACAGCUAUGUUUGUGUUUUAGAAAUGAUUGAUGCUGCUUAGCAAUGCAGUGGUAAUUAUUAUAGGGAGAAGGGGGUCUUGCGAACAUUCCCUAUGUGUUGACAUGAAGUUCCAAAAUCUCUCUCUCUAAGAUACCUUUUUCUCUGAAAAGCUGCAAACUGGUUGCUAUUGGGCUUGGUGUAUAGGAUCACCUGGACAACGCUGACGAUGGCCACAUUCCAAUUCUAGCACAAUUCUGCUUUGAGAGGACCAGCAGUCCCUUCUCCUCAUGGGCUGGUACUGUUUCAGAUUCAGGAGGACCCUCUUCAUCUGCUGUACUCCAGGCUGGCCAUGGGUUCAGUAUUUCCCUUUUCCCGUGAAUGAUUUUUUUACUCAAAAGUGUUCAUUUUGACCAGAAACCUCUCACCACAAAACUGCUAGUACUGGAAAACAGGACUGUAGAUGAAGGAGCACACAGUUUUGCAGCAUGGUUUUACACCCCUCUCAGCUGAAUGUGACACCAACCCCAAAUCUACCCGUCCUGACCACUGUUACAGCUUGUGGCUACAGCUGGAACAGUUCCCCCAAGACAAA
rnacentral:lncRNA from 1 species